rnacentral:rRNA from 1 species
UACGAAGGGUGCAAACGUUGCUCGGAAUUAUUGGGCGUAAAGCGCACGUAGGCGGCUAUCUAAGUCGGAUGUGAAAUCCCUCGGCUUAACCAAGGAAGUGCACCCGAAACUGGAUAGCUUGAGUACAGAAGAGGAUCGCGGAAUUCCCGGUGUAGAGGUGAAAUUCGUAGAUAUCGGGAGGAACACCAGUGGCGAAGGCGGCUCACUGGCCCGAUACUGACGCUGAGGUGCGAAAGCGUGGGGAGCAAACAGG